GAAGCUGACUCUAGGAAGAGUUUGCAAAGCUCCGGGAGUUAAGAACCCAAAAUAGGAUUAAUUGCACCAGCUGCACAAGAUGCCCCCUACUACCGAUUGUGCUCCCCCCUGCAACCUAUUGUAAUUAAUAUAGAGCUUGAUUAGCAAGCCUUCCCCUUGUGUAAAUUAUGCUGUGAGUAAUUCAUAGAUGAAUGAAUAAAUUGAAACCAGAAAAAC
rnacentral:lncRNA from 1 species